CCUUGUGCUCUGGACAUGGGGGAAAGGACUGACUGACUUUCCCAGAAAGCCAGAAGCCAGAUUACACAUUGGUUGUACUUUCCACAUGUUUGUUAAUAGACAACUCCUCUCUCAGCUCCAAGUGAGACUGCUGUGUUGGCCAGGGUCAUCCUCUGCCAUCCAGGAACUUUGGUAUCCAGCUCCUCAAGAAAACUAGAGGCUCCUGAGUGAACUACCUGUGAUUUCAAGUUUCUUACCUGCUGGGAAUUCUCUGGGACCUAAUCAUUCCUAGGUGAAUGCUGAGUAUCCAGUGGAGCUCUCCAAGUUUCUGAAGACGGGAAAGUCACUAAGAUGGAAACAUAUUGAAUACUUGAGUCACCAUGGAGAAGGUCACCCUCUGAACACCCAAUAGGACUACAAUAUAACCAACAAAUAAACUUUUACCAUGUUAAGCCACUGACAUUCGGGGCUGUUUGCUGUAUCAACUAGCAUGACUUACUCUUACUCAUCCAGCAGACUGAGUAGACCCUAUGGGGAAGCUUGAAUGUCAAUCUACAGACAACAAAGUUAACAUUGAGUCAUUUUUGCUGGGACCGUUUCAAAACAAUUUUUCUGGGUUAAUUGGCCACCAACUUAUAUGAUAUGAAGAGGAGUUUAUGUUUGGAAAGCUCAGUCCCUGUGGGGUAACUGCUGGAAUGGAGUAGAGCCAACAGAAAUUUCUCGAUAGGAAAUCACCAGGGCUCCACAUCCUUGGUUAUCCUCUGAAGCCAACUCAACCAUUUUGCCACCAAGAGAAGCAUGGGAGUGGGGAGGGCCUGUGUGUGGUUUAUGAUUCUGAGGUUUGUAAUGCAGAAUCUUUUCUCUUCUCUCUAGUAUUGCCAGAGCAACAUCAAUGACCAAAUAGGGACAAAAAAGAACCAUAUUUUGAGUGCGUGCACUCUCUCUCUCUUUCUCUCUCUCCCUGCCUCUUCUCAUGCACUCACCACCCUGAUCUGAAGCAUUUCUAAACAUAAAAAAAGAGAU